GACGAACGCUGGCGGCAUGCCUAACACAUGCAAGUCGAGCGAGCUGAUUCCUUCGGGAUGAAGCUAGCGGCGGACGGGUGAGUAACACGUGGGCAACCUGCCUCAUAGAGGGGAAUAGCCUUCCGAAAGGAAGAUUAAUACCGCAUAAGAUUGUAGCUUCGCAUGAAGUAGCAAUUAAAGGAGCAAUCCGCUAUGAGAUGGGCCCGCGGCGCAUUGGCUAGUUGGUGAGGUAACGGCUCACCAAGGCGACGAUGCGUAGCCGACCUGAGAGGGUGAUCGGACACAUGGGGACUGAGACACGGCCCAGACUCCUACGGGAGGCAGCAGUGGGGAAUAUUGCAAAAUGGGGGAAACCCUGAUGCAGCAAUGCCGCGUGAGUGAUGACGGCCUUCGGGUUGUAAAGCUCUGUCUUCGGGGACGAUAAUGACGGUACCCAAGGAGGAAGCCACGGCUAACUACGUGCCAGCAGCCGCAGUAA
rnacentral:rRNA from 1 species